AGCGAACGCUGGCGGCAGGCCUAACACAUGCAAGUCGAACGAACCUUUCGGGGUUAGUGGCGGACGGGUGAGUAACACGUGGGAACGUGCCUUUAGGUUCGGAAUAACUCAGGGAAACUUGUGCUAAUACCGAAAGUGCCCUCUGGGGGAAAGAUUUAUCGCCUUUAGAGCGGCCCGCGUCUGAUUAGCUAGUUGGCUGAGGUAAUGGCUCACCAAGGCGACGAACAGUAGCUGGUCUGAGAGGAUGAUCAGCCACAUUGGGACUGAGACACGGCCCAAACUCCUACGGGAGGCAGCAGUGGGGGAUCUUGCGCAAUGGGCGAAAUCCUGACGCAGCCAUGCCGCGUGAAUGAUGUAGGUCUUAGGGUUGGAAAAUUCUUUCACCGGGGACGAUAAUGACGGUACCCGGAGAAAAAGCCCCGGCUAACUUCGUG
rnacentral:rRNA from 1 species